rnacentral:rRNA from 1 species
AUACGUAGGGGGCGAGCGUUAUCCGGAAUUAUUGGGCGUAAAGAGUGCGUAGGUGGUUACCUAAGCGCAGGGUUUAAGGCAAUGGCUCAACCAUUGUAUGCCUUGCGAACUGGGCUACUUGAGUGCAGGAGAGGAAAGCGGAAUUCCUAGUGUAGCGGUGAAAUGCGUAGAUAUUAGGAGGAACACCAGUGGCGAAGGCGGCUUUCGGGACUGUAACUGACACUGAGGCACGAAAGCGUGGGGAGCAAACAGGAUUAGAUACCCUGGUAGUCCACGCCGUAAACGAUGAGCACUAGGUGUCGGGGUCGCAAGACUUCGGUGCCGCAGUUAACGCAUUAAGUGCUCCGCCUGGGGAGUACGCACGCAAGUGUGAAACUCAAAUGAAUUGACGGG